CGCUCACCAGGCAACAGAGGAGCAGCAGAGGCAUCCAGUUUGUCUUUAUUUAUCUCUGCGGAGCCACGUGGGAUUUGUCAGCGCCAUAAAUUUGAGUUUUUUUUCGCACAGGUCUGCGUGAGAUUGUGUGGAGCGAACUUCUCAAGGGUCUGCUCAAGGGUCCCUGAAUGGAACAUCAUGUUAAGUACCCGUUUCACUCCACAAACUGGGGAUUCACCAGCCUCCAGGUAAAAACAGGAUUGCAACGCCGCAGACAGAGGCAGACGCUAUACCUGGAAAACAGGGACAACAUCGGUGUGGGAAUUCAGUAAGAUGGAUUUCAACGUGGGCUUCGUCCCUUUCCAUGUCAUGAUCGUUACAACUCUGCCUGGACAGACCUAAAGGGAGAGGACAUGACAGAUAGGAACACUUAUCUGUCAUGGCUCCACAGCGUGUAAACAACUGUCUUCAACGUGCGUUAAAUUACCAUCAGUGGCACACACCUCAAUCUUUGUUAUGGGAAGUUCAAGCUCCUCCGCUAUUCUGUCCAGGAACUUAAGAGCAGCAUCUAUAAAUGAAUAAACAGAUAGCAGAACAGCCUGUUUAAAAAUUAAUAAUUGAGUGAAAUUUCUCAACUCCUGCUGCUGCUUGUGCUGGUAUCAUUGAUCGUCAGGAAGGUCACAGAAAGCCAAGAAAGAAAAUCUCACUUUCUCUUGUCACCUAUGAAAUUUUCAGAUUUCAGUGUCAGACGGCUGCCAUGUUUCACCUUCAAACUGGGGGUGUAUUCUGAAAAAACAGGGGUUUGGUUUUGUCUUACAGGAUGCCGCUAACAAAAAUGUGUUGCCUACUUGGCAGAACAGCUCAGCUUUUAAAACAACAAACUUGACACAUAACUGGCAGUGGUCAAUGCCUAACUGAAGCAGAUAAGAAGUGAACUUUGAUAAAUGACAGAACAAAAGAUGAUACAACUGUCACUGACUUUUACUCUUUAAAGAGGUAGAAGGAUAUGUUAUAAACAUAUUAGCAAUGCAAUUGUAUUACAUGUGUAUAAGAUUAUAUGUGUAAAAACAGUAUUUGAUAAUCAUGUUUAAAGGUUCUAUAUUGUGUCCCUUUAUAGCAAAUGAAUAAAAGUCUAGCAUGUU